rnacentral:rRNA from 1 species
AGCUUGGAAAGCGGCGAACGGGUGAGUAACACGUUGGUAUCUGCCCCUUGGUCAGGGAUAGCCAGUUGAAAGACUGAUUAAUACCGGAUAGUCUCUUCGGAGUAAAGAUUUAUUGCCAAGGGAGGAACCUGCGUCCUAUCAGCUAGUUGGUGAGGUAAAAGCUCACCAAGGCAAUGACGGGUAGUUGAUCUGAGAGGAUGAUCAGCCACAAUGGAACUGAGACACGGUCCAUACUCC